GCUCUCAGUUCAUCUAGGCUCAUUCCACAUAUACCACCCAGCCUCAUCAGGAACUCUAGAUGGACAUACCACCCACUUGGCAUGAGAACCCAGACCUUCUGCCUCUGGUUAGGAGGGGGAAGUGACCCCAGCCCUUCCCCUGUGUAUCUUUUGUUUCCCACCUAGAGGGAGAACUUCCUGUGACCUCAUGUCAUGACUUUUGCUGCAGUGUUCUGCCUCUUGUGCUUGAAGCAUCUCUGUGUGCCAACCCCUCUCCCAUUCCCUUGCACAGUCGUUCUUGGUUUGAGGUUCCUGUUGUCCCUCUGGAAAGGCCAAAUGCCAUCUGACUUUUCCACACCUAGUACCUUCAUGGCAGUGCCUGUUAAGCUCAUUCUAUAUGCUACCAUCAGCUUAGUAUUGCCAAACUAAUGCCAUCAUCAGGAGCCUAGUGAACAUAUUAUAGGUUUUUAAACUUUCCAUGUUAAAAAUGCUUAGUAGAUAAAUAUAGAGGGGAAAGGACAAACAGAUGAGAGGAAAGAAAGUAGAGUGGAGAGGAAAGGAAGGGAAGGGGGGGAGAGGGGAAGAAGGAUAGGGGAGGGGAAGGGGGAGGGGGAGGGAGGGGAGACGAGACGAGGCAAAGCCAGGUUUGCUUCCAGGUUUCUUGCUAACUUGGUUUCUAAGAAUGAGUCCUUUUCUGCAUGUCAGCUUUACCCUGUAGCAGCCCUGGCCACCGCUGCUCCUGAGCGCUGUCUCUACUGAGAACCCACCAACCCUGGUGAAUUCUCAUGUAGCCAUCUUACCUAGCACUUCACAAUAUCAGUGCCCCAUCAUGGUUGUCUGUGGCUUUGACCUGUUUUGGGACUAACUAAACGUAUGCCAGCCAAAUGGACCCAUGCAGUAGACUCUUAAAUAGUAACCCAAAUUUCUCUUGACCAUGUAAAAAGUUUCACGAGAACUUUCAAGAAGGUCUAGUUGUUGAAUACAGUUGAGAACAAUGAGAGGAAAAAUUGAAACUAAUUUUCUGUGUAUGUUACCAAGGAGCUUUUCAGCCUUUUUUGACUUCAGGAAUCCUUCACAUCGGCUGAUGGGAAGGGUCCGUCCAUAUCUCCUGAUUCUCUUUCUCAGGAAGAAACCACAGUUUAGGCUUCCUAUGCUGUCUUUGCGAUUUCCUUGAUUCUAAACAUCUUGGGUUCAUGUCUUCUCCAAUGUUGAAUAAAGCAUUAUAGAGUUCCCCUGUCCCCCAAAUAUAUUGUUUAUUGCAUCCAGUGAUUUCUUAGGGAUAUAUAUAAUAGCUCUAAUUUCUCCAAAAUUCUAAAUCUCUCCCAUCUGGUUUUAACAUACAGGUUCUGAUGUUGUUUUUGUUGGGUUUGGUUUGUGAUACUGUAAAUAUCUCCUGACUAGGCCUUCCUUGGUAAAGGCCCUCAAGUCUGGCAGGCUCUGCAUGUAUUUCAGACUCCUUGAGUCUGAACCUAUAGAAUAGAACAAAACACAGACUGUCUAAGCCACUCACUAGAAUGUACUGAGUUAAGCCUUAGCAAAAGAAUCUCAGAUUUUAUUCUUUCCCUGUCUUUGUGUUUCUUCCACUGCAUAAUGCUACUGUUAGCCACCAAGUCACCAAUGCUGUCCCUGUGUGACUCUGACUUUCCUCUCCUAGGUCAAGGCCAUCAGUGUCUAUCAAGGGUUCAAUUAUGGAAGUGUUCUUCAGAUCUCAGAUAUGUAUCAUUGAAUAGAAAUGUCAUGGCUGCAAAUCGAGCCCAAAUUGUUCUGAAAUUUUCACAUUGGCACACAAUAUUUAAGUCUCAAGUCACUAUAGUGAAGCAAGACUUACACGUGAGUCCUUUGGAUGUCCUACACCCGUAGUUUAUGCUCUAAUAGACUCUAGAAUCUAGAGAAAGCACCAAGACCUUCGGUAUCAAUAGCACUGAAGUAAUCUAGAGCAGUUUUCAUCCUAGUCACAGCCCAUGGGGAGACCAUGGCACCCAUGAGAACAACACAGGGGACAAACACUUCAAGCAGACCAGACCGUGGAUUCUGUUGCAUGAAGACAGAAGGAAAUGGAGCACCAGGCAGAAGACCAGGGGUGUCUCAGCUCCAAGCAGUGCUCUUAGCCCACUGGGAGAUGCUAGGUGUAUUCUUUCUAAUCAUCUCUCUUGUGCAUUUUCUGCAGUUUGGUACCUUUCUCUACUUCCUGCCUACAGUACAUCCAUAGUGCAGCAAGUAACUGAUGAACUCCAUGACCAGCAAGAAGAAAUAAGAACAUGGAAAUCUGUUUGAACAAAUCCAACGGGUGUGAGCAGGGUGGGACAUACCUGGGACCCUGAGAUUGAUCGCCCUCUAGCCCUUCAGGAGAGACAAAGCGAGACAAUAGACACACCCAGCAAGUCCAUUGUCCUAGUGUCUGUCUUUAAUUAUCUCCCUCCACUUCCUCAAAUCACAUUCAUAAAUAUUUAAUAAUGACCCAGCCUCUCCCCCAACCCCAGCGUUCACAUACUCUUGGGCCCCUUUAUG
rnacentral:lncRNA from 1 species